AGUGAACGCUGGCGGUAGGCCUAACACAUGCAAGUCGAACGGCAGCACAGUAAGAGCUUGCUCUUACGGGUGGCGAGUGGCGGACGGGUGAGGAAUACAUCGGAAUCUACUUUUUCGUGGGGGAUAACGUAGGGAAACUUACGCUAAUACCGCAUACGACCUACGGGUGAAAGCAGGGGAUCUUCGGACCUUGCGCGAUUGAAUGAGCCGAUGUCGGAUUAGCUAGUUGGCGGGGUAAAGGCCCACCAAGGCGACGAUCCGUAGCUGGUCUGAGAGGAUGAUCAGCAACACUGAAGCGAAGACACGGUCCAGACUCCGACGGGGGGCGCAAGUGGGGAAUAUUGAAAAAGGGGCGAAGGCUUGACCGAGCAUUACGGGGGGGGUAAAGAAGGCUUGCGGGUUGUAAACCCUUUUUGUGGGAAAAAAAAACAAGCAGGUAAAUCCCCCGUUGUUUGGAGGGAACCAAAAGAAUAAGCACGGCCUACCUUCGG
rnacentral:rRNA from 1 species